rnacentral:rRNA from 1 species
GAUGAACGCUGGCGGCGUGCCUAAUACAUGCAAGUCGAGCGAAUGGAUUAAGAGCUUGCUCUUAUGAAGUUAGCGGCGGACGGGUGAGUAACACGUGGGUAACCUGCCCAUAAGACUGGGAUAACUCCGGGAAACCGGGGCUAAUACCGGAUAACAUUUUGAACCGCAUGGUUCGAAAUUGAAAGGCGGCUUCGGCUGUCACUUAUGGAUGGACCCGCGUCGCAUUAGCUAGUUGGUGAGGUAACGGCUCACCAAGGCAACGAUGCAUAGCCGACCUGGGAGGGUGAUCGGCCACACUGGGACUGAGACACGGCCCAGACUCCGACGGGAGGCAGCAGUAGGGAAUCUUCCGCAAUGGACGAAAGUCUGACGGAGCAACGCCGCGUGAGUGAUGAAGGCUUUCGGGUCGUAAAACUCUGUUGUUAGGGAAGAACAAGUGCUAGUUGAAUAAGCUGGCACCUUGACGGUACCUAACCAGAAAGCCACGGCUAACUACGUGCCAGCCGCCGCGGUAA